AUUGAACGCUGGCGGCAGGCCUAACACAUGCAAGUCGAACGAGGGGCGGACGGGUGAGUAAUGUCUGGGAAACUGCCUGAGGGAGGGGGAUAACUACUGGAAACGGGAGCUAAUAGCGCAUACCAUCGGAUGUGCCCAGAUGGGAUUAGCUAGUAGGGGGGGUAAAGGCUCACCUAGGCGACGAUCCCUAGCUGGUCUGAGAGGAUGACCAGCCACACUGGAACGGAGACACGGUCCAGACUCCUACGUGAGGCAGCAGUGGGGAAUAUUGCACAAUGGGCGCAAGCCUGAUGCAGCCAUGCCGCGUGUAUGAAGAAGGCCUUCGGGUUGUAAAGUACUUUCAGCGGGGAGGCGUUACCCGCAGAAGAAGCACCGGCUAACUCCGUGCCAGCAGCCGCGGUAAUUC
rnacentral:rRNA from 1 species